rnacentral:rRNA from 1 species
GACGAACGCUGGCGGCGUGCUUAACACAUGCAAGUCGAACGGUAAGGCCUUUCGGGGUCCUACGAUUGGCGAACGGGUGAGUAACACGUGAUCAACCUGCCCUUGACUUCGGAAUACCAGCUGGAAACAGCUGCGAAUACCGGAUAUGACCCUUGUCCUCCUGGACUGGGGUGGAAAGCUCCGGCGGUCAGGGAUGGGCUCGCGGCCUGUCAGCUUGUUUGUGCGGUAAUGGCUCACCAAGGCUUCGACUGGUAGCCUGCCUGAGAGGGCGAGCGGCCACACUGGGACUGAGAUACGGCCCAGACUCCUACGGGAGGAAGCAGUGGGGAAUAUUGCACAAUGGGCGCAAGCCUGAUGCAGAAACGCCGCGUGCGGGAUGACGGCCUUAGGGUUGAAAAACGCCUUCAGUAGGGACGAAGCCACAAGUGACGGUACCUACAGAAGAAGGACCGGCUAACUACGUG